rnacentral:rRNA from 1 species
AAUAGAUACCCGGGUAGUCCACGCCGUAAACGAUGAGUGCUAAGUGUUAGAGGGUUUCCGCCCUUUAGUGCUGCAGCUAACGCAUUAAGCACUCCGCCUGGGGAGUACGGUCGCAAGACUGAAACUCAAAGGAAUUGACGGGGGCCCGCACAAGCGGUGGAGCAUGUGGUUUAAUUCGAAGCAACGCGAAGAACCUUACCAGGUCUUGACAUCCUCUGACAACUCUAGAGAUAGAGCGUUCUCCUUCGGGGGACAGAGUGACAGGUGGUGCAUGGUUGUCGUCAGCUCGUGUCGUGAGAUGUUGGGUUAAGUCCCGCAACGAGCGCAACCCUUGAUCUUAGUUGCCAGCAUUUAGUUGGGCACUCUAAGGUGACUGCCGGUGACAAACCGGAGGAAGGUGGGGAUGACGUCAAAUCAUCAUGCCCCUUAUGACCUGGGCUACACACGUGCUACAAUGGAUGGUACAAAGGGCUGCAAGACCGCGAGGUCAAGCCAAUCCCAUAAAACCAUUCUCAGUUCGGAUUGUAGG